UGGUGGGUAGUUUGACUGGGGCGGUCUCCUCCCAAAGAGUAACGGAGGAGCACGAAGGUUAGCUAAUCCUGGUCGGACAUCAGGAGGUUAGUGCAAUGGCAUAAGCUAGCUUGACUGCGAGAGUGACGGCUCGAGCAGGUGCGAAAGCAGGUCAUAGUGAUCCGGUGGUUCUGAAUGGAAGGGCCAUCGCUCAACGGAUAAAAGGUACUCCGGGGAUAACAGGCUGAUACCGCCCAAGAGUUCAUAUCGACGGCGGUGUUUGGCACCUCGAUGUCGGCUCAUCACAUCCUGGGGCUGAAGUAGGUCCCAAGGGUAUGGCUGUUCGCCAUUUAAAGUGGUACGCGAGCUGGGUUUAGAACGUCGUGAGACAGUUCGGUCCCUAUCUGCCGUGGGCGCUGGAGAAUUGAGGGGGGCUGCUCCUAGUACGAGAGGACCGGAGUGGACGCAUCACUGGUGUUCGGGUUGUCAUGCCAAUGGCACUGCCCGGUAGCUAAAUGCGGAAGAGAUAAGUGCUGAAAGCAUCUAAGCACGAAACUUGCCCCGAGAUGAGUUCUCCCUGAGACUUUAAGUCUCCUGAAGGAACGUUGAAGACGACGACGUUGAUAGGUCGGGUGUGUAAGCGCAGCGAUGCGUUGAGCUAACCGAUACUAAUGAACCGUGAGGCUUAACCUU
rnacentral:rRNA from 1 species